rnacentral:misc_RNA from 1 species
AGUUGUAUUCAACAGUUAAACCAGGCCCUUAAAGCUCCAUGGAAAAUUCUUAAUUGUAUCAUAUCUCCUUGCUCUGGUGGGUUCUAAAUUUCUUAUACUUUGACGAUGUAACCAGGCUGCCUUCGCUAAUGGCUUUUGCUCUUGUUCCUCUUUCCUUUUCCUUACUCUUUCUGCUGCCAAGUUUUGCUCUUGCUCAAAACGGAGGUAAUCUAACUGUGGGUGCUUCUCUCACUGCAUCUGAUCAAAACUCCUCAUGGCUUUCACCUUCUGGUGAAUUUGCCUUUGGUUUUCGUCAACUGAACAACAGCGUCGAUCUCUUCUUGCUUGCUAUUUGGUAUGACCAAAUACCAGACAAAACCAUUGUUUGGUAUGCUAAUGGAGAUGACCCUGCACCCAAGAAUUCAAAAGUCGAGCUAACCGAUGGCGGGCUAGUCCUUACUGACCCACGACGAGCGGAGCUAUGGAGAUCCGUGACAACUGGCGCUGUUACUUCUGGUGCCAUGACGGAUGCUGGCAAUUUUGUGCUUCAAGAUGGUCAUUCUGUCGCUUGGGAAAGCUUCAAGAAUCCUACUGAUACAAUAUUGCCUUCACAAACCUUGGACAGGCAAGGGGUGCUUUCUUCUCGAUAUUCAGAUACCAAUUUUUCCAGGGGAAGGUUUCAGCUGAAACUUCAAGAAGAUGGUAAUCUUGUCCUUGCUACAGUAAACUUGCCCUCUGAUCAUACUAAUGAACCUUAUUAUGAAAGCGGCACUGAAGGCGAUUCAAAUUCCUCGAGUCCUGGUUACCAAUUGAUCUUCAAUUCAUCAGGAUACUUGUAUAUAUUGAGAGAAAAUCGCCAAAAAUUCACUCUCGGUGUGGAACCUCCAACUGGAAACUUCUAUCACAGAGCAACUCUCAAUUUUGAUGGAGUUUUUACUUAUUAUUAUCGCCCAAAAGCAUCAACUGGCAACGAAAGGUGGACUCCUCUUUGGAAUAAACCGAUUAAUAUUUGCCAAAACAGCAGGGUAACCGCUGGUAGUGGCGUCUGUGGGUUCAAUAGUGUCUGCACACUGGUCCAAGAUCAGAGACCGACCUGUGAAUGCCCGAGCGGAUAUUCUUUAUUUGAUCCAAAUGAUCAGUAUGGCGGUUGCAAAGCAAACUUCACACAGAGAUGUGAAGAAAGUGAGAUGGGUCCGGUGGAAGAUUUAUAUGGUUUUGAAGUGCUUCUAAAUACUGAUUGGCCAACGUCGGAUUAUGCCCUCUUGCAGCCUUUUACUGAAGAUGGCUGUAGGCAAUCCUGUUUACAGGAUUGUAUGUGCGCUGUUGCUAUUUUCAGAUCAGGCAAUAUGUGUUGGAAGAAGAAGCUGCCACUCUCA